UACGGGGGGAGCAAGCGUUGUUCGGAUUUACUGGGCGUAAAGGCGCGUAGGCGGCCACCGCAAGUCGGUUGUGAAAUCUCUGGGCUUAACCCAGAAAGGUCAACCGAUACUGCGGGGCUAGAGUGCAGAAGGGGCAACUGGAAUUCUCGGUGUAGCGGUGAAAUGCGUAGAUAUCGAGAGGAACACCUGCGGCGAAGGCGGGUUGCUGGGCUGACACUGACGCUGAAGCGCGAAAGCUAGGGGAGCGAACGGG
rnacentral:rRNA from 1 species